ACCCAAGUAUUGUGCCUAGUUCAGAACUGCUCUCCUGCUCUGUAGCUAAACUCUGGGACACUACAGUGGAGGAGAUGACUGGGAAGAAGGGUUUUCUCUCCUCAUUUCCCUCCCAACCUAUUAAA
rnacentral:snoRNA from 1 species